AUAAUUGAGACUAAAUGAGAAAAUUUUAAUUUUAUUAUUCAAAAUUUAAAAUUUUAAACUUAAAUAUAAAAAUUUUUAAAUUUUUAAAUUUUUUUCUAAUAUAUUUUUUUAAGGUAUAUAAAAAUUCAUUAUAAAGUAGUUGGGCUUUAUCCUAAUAUAAAAAAAAUAAAGAAGACAAUAGGCCCAAAACAGCACAACUUUAGGCCUAAACCCAUCACUCAAACCUCAACUCAAGAAGUCUUUAAGAAUCUCUGUCAAACUCUCACUAUCGUCUUUUCCACUGUCAAUCUGAGAGCAACACUGAAGGGAACCUAUGCCUUCCUUCAAGAUUUAUGAGGUUCAGCCAAGGAGGACUGAGAUUGGAGCAUCCAAAAAAGAGAAACAAAAAGAUCCACAGCCGAUGGAGGUUAGUGCCAAAGCUCCUUCACCAAAUUUGGUAUUUAAGGUCACCAAAAAAGCAUGCAAGCAGGCGUGAUAUUGAUCCAACUGUUAGAAUCAGACCCUCGUGGCAUUCACAAUACCAUUAAUAGCUUUGCAAGUCCUAAAAGAAAUUCCCUAUAUAAAACUCCAUUAACCUGUCAAUAUGCAAACCAAACAAGCUAUUUAGACCAGUAUAGGAAGGAAAACCUACCUUCUAUGGGGUUAGAGGGAAGUCAUCCCCUGCCCCUUCAGCCACAAAGACUCGGCAAAAAAAAGAUUUGGUAGCCUAAAACAGAGAAAAAUCUCUCUACAAACUUUAGAGGAGAUUUUAUAUUUUGCCGUUUUAGUUAUACAUAUCAAAAAUAAAUUAUUUAUUAAUCUAUAAUUCUAUAAUAAUUUUAAUUAAUUUUAAAUUAUUUAAAUUCAUUUAAUUUAAUAUAUUUUAAUUAAUAAUCUAUAUAAAAUAUUUAUUUUUCUCCAACGUAAUUAUAUAUUACUCAACCUCAAUAAAAUUCAAUUGGAUCCAAUACCUACAAAAAUAGCACAACCGUUGCCGUUGUACUGAGACUUGCAUGCAUGAAAAAUACUGAUGAAUAAACCUUCCAACCAACACCUGCAAAUCUGUGUCAGAGUGUCCUGUUUCAGCCACACAACCAUUGAUCCCCAUCCCCAGCAGCACAGAAACCAGCUGGUCCACACCCGCCAGAUGAGUAUGGCCGUUCAAAAAGUACAAAACACCACUGGCCAUUGGCCACUGUGCACAAGUCUGAAGGCUAAUUGCUUUUGCUGGCCUUCCCUAUCUUCAUCAUUAGCUGCUCCUUUUUUAUCACUUCCCACCUCCCUCUUUUGACCCCUCUAAUUGGUAAGAUGCUUUCGAAGAUUCUCAAUUGGCUUUUUUUCAUGUUUUUAUCCACUUUGUUUGGUGGCCAUUGGCUUCCCAUUUCUUUCUUUGAUCUUUAUGUGCAGAGGAGCAAUCAAUGGAUGGCCUCUUUU
rnacentral:lncRNA from 1 species